ACCGGCGCAUGGGUGAGUAACGCGUAUCCAACCUGCCUAUAACUAGGGAAUAACCUUGCGAAAGUAAGACUAAUACCCUAUGAUUUCCUUUGAUGGCAUCAGAUUAGGAAUAAAGAUUUAUCGGUUAUAGAUGGGGAUGCGUCUGAUUAGCUUGUUGGCGGGGUAACGGCCCACCAAGGCAACGAUCAGUAGGGGUUCUGAGAGGAAGGUCCCCCACAAUGGAACUGAGACACGGUCCAAACUCCUACGGGAGGCAGCAGUGUGGAAUAUUGGUCAAUGGGCGGAAGCCUGAACCAGCCAAGUAGCGUGCAGGAUGACGGCCCUAUGGGUUGUAAACUGCUUUUAUACAGGAAUAAAGUUAGCCACGUGUGGUUAUUUGUAGGUACUGUAUGAAUAAGGACCGGCUAAUUCCGUGCCAGCAGCCGCGGUAAUACGGAAGGUCCAGGCGUUAUCCGGAUUUAUUGGAUUUAAAGGGAGCGUAGGCCGUCUGUUAAGCGUGUUGUGAAAUGUAGAUGCUCAACAUCUGAAUUGCAGCGCGAACUGGCAGACUUGAGUGUGCACAACGUAGGCGGAAUUCGUGGUGUAGCGGUGAAAUGCUUAGAUAUCACGAAGAACUCCGAUUGCGAAGACAGCUUACGGGAGCACAACUGACGCUGAAGCUCGAAAGAGCGGGUUUCAAACAGGAUUAGUUACCCUGGUAGUCCGCACGGUAAACGAUGGAUGCCCGCUGUUGACCCUCCUGGGCCAGCGGCCAAGCGAAAGCAUUAAGCAUCCCACCUGGGGAGUACGCCGGCAACGGUGAAACUCCAAGGAAUUGUCGGGGGCCCGCACAAGCGGAGGAACAUGUGAUUUAAUUCGAUGAUACGCGAGGAACCUUACCCGGGCUUGAAUUGCAGAGGAAAGAUCCAGAGAUGGUGAUGCCCUUCGGGGCCUCUGUGAAGGUGCUGCAUGGUUAUCGUCAGCUCGUGCCGUGAGGUGUCGGCUUAAGUGCCGUAACGAGCGCAACCCCUUUCUUUAGUUGCCAUCAGGUAAUGCUGGGCACUCUGGAGAUACUGCCACUGUAAGGUGUGAGGAAUGUGGGGAUGACGUCAAAUCAGCACGGCCCUUACGUCCGGGGCUACACACGUGAUACAAAGGCCAGUACAGAGAGAGUGUUGCUUGCAAAAGUAAUCAAAUCCUUAAAACCGGUCCCAGUUCGGACUGGGGUCUGCAACUCGACCCCACGAAGCUGGAUUCGCUA
rnacentral:rRNA from 1 species